GGCAUGCACUUCUGUGUUUAUAUUCUGCAGAAGUGUAUACUAAUUUUGCAUGGAAGAAAAUAAACAAUAAAAACUGUCAAAAAGAGAGUUGAAGAGAGAAUUUCUCAACCAGAAAUGAACAGCGGAUGCUGAGGAGAUAUUUGGGGUCGUUGAAAAAACGAUAACAGAGUACCAGUUAGACGUUUUCCAUACGAAAGAGGAGAACGAACGUCUUCGUGGGCUGUUGAUGUUGCACAAAGGAGAGUCCGACUGCCAGCAGCAGGCUGAAGCUACUAUCACUUUGGUGCAGGUUGCCCCUGAGCAGCAGCAGUCAUGUACUCAAGAGUGGGGCCUCCGUCUAAGACAGGAGGGCCCAGAGCCCACAGUGUAAAGAGGAAGAGGAUACCCACUGGAUCAGUGAGGUUGAAGAACACAUUCAAAAGCUGAAGUCUGAUUCCAAAGAAUAUCCAGACCAAGUAUCCACACUGACAAGCUCUCAACACAUAUCACCAAGCCAUAACAUUGGUCAGUGGGCAUAUAGCUAUCCCUUUUAGCAAACAAUUUAUUGUAACACAGUCGUGCGGUUGUUGUUAGUUGUAUUUUAGGUAAUACUCUUUGAAAUCACGGGGCAUUUUAUUCGUGGAAAUUAUAGGGAAAUCGUACAGUUUGUGGCUUUAAGUUCUGUUGGCGCUGUGUCCUUUCAUUUCUUCAGAUUUCACAUUCCAAAUGGAAACAGAAGGGUCAGUAAAUGAAGCCAUCAAACUGAAAGUCAUCCUCAACGACAACAGAAUAGAGAAAGUGAUUCUGCCCUCUCAACCUGACUCACUGAAUGAGCUGAUAUCAACACUCAAGGAGAAACUGCAUCUGAAGUUUGAUUUCAGUCUUCUUUAUGAAGACCCUGAUUUCAACAAUGAGCUCUUCAACUUAGACCAUUGAAGACUUGCCUUCUCCUAGGGCUACGGGGAAAGUUUUGCGAAUAUGACGUGAUACAGACCUCGGUUUAACCGGAUUCUCAGCCACCGAGUUGCGGGAUGCCCCACCAGAGCGGUUAGGAAGAUGGCCUGAGGUAUUUGUCAUACCCACUUUCUCGAUGGAAGUUGAGUUUGCUCUGAGGGCAAUUGUGCAUAUCUGAGACAUGAAACGGUGCUGAAAAUAACAAGGGAUCAAAAACACAACAUUCUUGAUAGGAUGACUUGGACAAUCUUCAAUUUAAUAGUGUCCCCAAGUGACAGAGAAACAUAGGCUGGAGAUGGUCCACGAGAUGAUGAAAGAAAACCUAGACCUGCCACUCAUCAAUCAACACAUGCUGAAGACAUUUGCUCUCCGACACCAAGAAAUAGUUCAAUCCAGUCCCACGGUAGAGCAUCUCAGAACACGCUGACCAGCACUCUCCCUUGAAGCUCAGGUUAAGCAGACUAAGAAAAGUUGUCUUUGCCCAGUCAUGUGCUCAUAACAAUCUACAUUUCCAUUGCAGUUCAGACCUUUUUGAUGCAUGUCACAUGUUCUUCUAGUUGUACUCACAAGUCAUGGUUAUCAGUAACAACAUUCUCAGGGCAGGCUCAACUUGCCUGACUGACAUAAAUUGGGAUGUUCUGUGUGCUUUGUCUUUUCCUUUAGGUACAUGCUGAGUUUCAGAGAAUCACCAACCAGAGCCUUCAGCAGACGUUCUACUCUGCCUUGGGCCACCACACGCCCCCGCCUGCUGACCCUGUUCAGGGAGAAGGAGGGGAAGUCCACCACCCAUGGAGGAAAUUCUCAAGCAUCCUGAGAGUGUACAACGAGCAGUUCACUUCACAGGGAGAAAAUAACAUCACCGUGGCCCGUUCUGCAGUCCUAGCUGGUCUCCCUUUGUUGUUACGAGAGGUGGGAGAACUCAGCAACCCUGGUAUUCUGGAGGGAGUUUCUAUUCUCUCAGUGAUGGGCCAGCACAAUGAGGUGGUGGGUGGUAUACCCAUCAGACCGGCCCAUGUAUCCAUUGUCCUUGAGGAUAAGAUCGUCAUGACUAACUCCCGCUCCUGGCCAGACGCUCUCGUGGUUGUUUUUGGGCUACUCUACUCCCUCCAUCUGAACUACCCCAAAGCCCUGGGCAGACGCUCUCGUGGUUGUUUUUGGGCUACUCUACUCCCUCCAUCUGAACUACCCCAAAGCCCUGGGCAGACGCUCUCGUGGUUGUUUUUGGGCUACUCUACUCCCUCCAUCUGAACUACCCCAAAGCCCUGGGCAGACGCUCUCGUGGUUGUUUUUGGGCUACUCUACUCCCUCCAUCUGAACUACCCCAAAGCCCUGGGCAGACGCUCUCGUGGUUGUUUUUGGGCUACUCUACUCCCUCCAUCUGAACUACCCCAAAGCCCUGGGCAGACACUCUCGUGGUUGUUUUUGGGCUACUCUACUCCCUCCAUCUGAACUACCCCAAAGCCCUGGGCAGCACCUUUGAGUUCAUGCAGAAAGUCUUCCUGAACCUCGACGAUGGAAAACUGAAGCGCAAGCUGCUAGCGCUGAAAUAUGAACUGUUGGCAUAAUUCUGUAGUGAUGAGAUGGAAUUUGACUUUGAGUGACCUCCUAUAUGCCAAGCGAGUGGUUUGAAAACAAUGGUUAUUUUUGUUCGGUUUGCUUUUAUAUUUUUGUAUGUUUUUUGUGCAGGUAAUGGAUUUGAUAUUGUAUUUCAAUUCACUUAUAACCCUUUUAUGUGAAAAGAAGACACAGGUCAGUCAACACAUGAACUUAUAACCCUUUUAUGUGAAAAGACGUCACAGGUCAGUCAACACAUGAACUUAUAACCCUUUUAUGUGAAAAGAAGACACAGGUCAGUCAACACAUGAACUUAUAACCCUUUUAUGUGAAAAGAAGACACAGGUCAGUCAACACAUGAACUUAUAACCCUUUUAUGUGAAAAGAAGACACAGGUCAGUGAACACAUGAACUUGCCACAUAUAGUCGAUCUGCGACCCAGUUCUCUACCUUUGUUAUACAGCUGCAGAAAACCCCCAAAUGUUUUCUAGAAUAUUUCACCUUUGCAGACAUUCCGACUGGCACAAAAUACAUGUUGAUAAAAUGUUUAUAAAGUGUCCUGGCCUUC